rnacentral:rRNA from 1 species
UCGUGUCGUGAGAUGUUGGGUUAAGUCCCGCAACGAGCGCAACCCUCGCCUUUAGUUGCCAUCACGUCUGGGUGGGCACUCUAAAGGAACUGCCGGUGACAAGCCGGAGGAAGGUGGGGAUGACGUCAAGUCCUCAUGGCCCUUAUGUCCUGGGCUACACACGUGCUACAAUGGCGGUGACAGUGGGAAGCCAGGUGGCGACACCGAGCCGAUCUCUAAAAGCCGUCUCAGUUCGGAUUGCACUCUGCAACUCGAGUGCAUGAAGGUGGAAUCGCUAGUAAUCGCGGAUCAGCAUGCCGCGGUGAAUACGUUUCCCGGGA